rnacentral:piRNA from 1 species
UAAUGGUGUAGAUGAGAUUUCCAAACUC